CGAAAGCCUGACGGAGCAACGCCGCGUGAGGGAUGAAGGCCUCUGGGCUGUAAACCUCUUUUAUCAAGGAAGAAGAUCUGACGGUACUUGAUGAAUAAGCCACGGCUAAUUCCGUGCCAGCAGCCGCGGUAAUACGGGAGUGGCAAGCGUUAUCCGGAAUUAUUGGGCGUAAAGCGUCCGCAGGCGGCCUUGUAAGUCUGUCGUCAAAGCGUGGAGCUUAACUCCAUUUAAGCGAUGGAAACUGCAAGGCUAGAGUGUGGUAGGGGCAGAGGGAAUUCCCGGUGUAGCGGUGAAAUGCGUAGAUAUCGGGAAGAACACCAGUGGCGAAGGCGCUCUGCUGGGCCAUAACUGACGCUCAUGGACGAAAGCCAGGGGAGCG
rnacentral:rRNA from 1 species